GCGGACGUGGUGGAAUUGGUAGACACGCAAGUUUUAGGUACUUGUGCCGUAAGGUGUGUGGGUUCGAGUCCCUCCGUCCGCACCA
rnacentral:tRNA from 1 species